rnacentral:rRNA from 1 species
CAAUAGCGUAUAUUUAAGUUGUUGCAGUUAAAAAGCUCGUAGUUGGAUUUCGGUUAAGAGCGACCGGUCCGCCGUUUGGUGUGCACUGGUUGGUUUUAACUUCCUGUAGAGGACGUGCUCUGGGUUUAACGACCUGGACUCGGAGUCUACGUGGUUACUUUGAAAAAAUUAGAGUGUUCAAAGCGGGCUUACGCUUGAAUAUUUCAGCAUGGAAUAACACUAUAGGACUCCUGUCCUAUUUCGUUGGUCUCGGGACAGGAGUAAUGAUUAAGAGGAACAGUUGGGGGCAUUCGUAUUUCAUUGUCAGAGGUGAAAUUCUUGGAUUUAUGAAAGACGAACUUCUGCGAAAGCAUUUGCCAAGGAUGUUUUCAUUAA